CCUACGGGAGGCAGCAGUGAGGAAUAUUGGUCAAUGGCCGGAAGGCUGAACCAGCCAUGCCGCGUGAAGGUCAGUGCCCUAUGGGCGUUAAACUUCUUUUGUGCGGGAGCAAUAAUGGUCACGUGUGGCCAGACGAGAGUACCGUACGAAUAAGCAUCGGCUAACUCCGUGCCAGCAGCCGCGGUAAUCCGGGGGAUGCAAGCGUUAUCCGGAUUUAUUGGGUUUAAAGGGUGCGUAGGCUGUGAGGUAAGUCAGCGGUGAAAUGCCCCCGCUCAACGGGGUGAAGUGCCAUUGAUACUGCCUGGCUGGAAUGCGGAUGCCGUGGGAGGAAUGUGUGGUGGAGCGGUGAAAUGCAUAGAUAUCACACAGAACACCGAUUGCGAAGGCAUCUCACGAAUCCGCGAUUGACGCUGAUGCACGAAAGCGUGGGUAUCAAACAGGAUUAGAUACCCUGGUAGUC
rnacentral:rRNA from 1 species